rnacentral:lncRNA from 1 species
UUCUGACUUGCAGCAGGUACUGUCCACGUAGGGGGUUGUGUGUGUGUUAGCUCGCAGGUCCUCCUCCUUGCUUAGCUGCUUAGCUAAGCUAGUCCACGUCCGGUAGCGGAAGGUGGUGGUACAGCAUGACGAAUCGCGUUGCAGCCUAAAAAUUCAAAGCCGUAAUUACUACCAAUCCAAGUCCAUCUCUCUGCGGUUCUCUCCAUGCUCUUGUGCUCUUAUUGUACGAUGAAAUGUACAGUAAGUGCUGCAGUUGUACAAUGUACCGUAUAGCACGGCCUAAUCUGACCACUUUAUAACAUGUCUUUUACCUCUUCAGAAGACUACAUUUGCUAGACCAAUCAUAUUACUUUGUAUCAGGCCACACUCUCCGAAGUUGCUGUAUACAUAAAACUAUAUAGAAGAUAUAACUAUCCCGAUAUUUUUUCAUAAAGGAAUAGUAAUUAUUCCGGCCUCUACAUCGCAGUAUACAUCCAGCAAGAAAGUUGCAUAUUUGUUCCAUGCGAAAACAAAAGGUGGACCAGGCCCUUGUUUACUUCCCUCCAAACUUCCAACUUUGACACUAUGCAAAAAGAAGAUUCCCCAUCACAUCAAACUUGCGGUACAUGUAUGGAGUACUAAAUGUAGACGAAAUCAAAAACUAAUUGCACAGUUUUGUUGUACUUUGCGAGACGAAUCUUUUGAGCCUAAUUAGUCAAUAUUUGAACAAUAAUUCACAAAUACAAACGAAACGCUACAGUGUCGCAUUUAUGGCAAAAUGCCAAUUUGGUACCUCCCAACUUGGGAAGUAAACAAGGGCCAGAAGCAAAGCCUAUUACAAACUGCCAUCCAUUCUUCGCGAAAAUCUCCGUACCUGUAGAUUCCAAAGCUCGACAAGCCUCCGAUAUAGUAUCUCAGUCCUCUGGUGAGCAAUAUUUCAUGCCAACUUCUCUCUCGUUCUUCAUUU